GACGAACGCUGGCGGCGUGCUUAACACAUGCAAGUCGAACGAAGAGCGAUGGAAGCUUGCUUCUGUCAAUCUUAGUGGCGAACGGGUGAGUAACGCGUAAUCAACCUGCCCUUCAGAGGGGGACAACAGUUGGAAACGACUGCUAAUACCGCAUACGAUCUAAUCUCGGCAUCGAGGAUAGAUGAAAGGUGGCCUCUACAUGUAAGCUAUCACUGAAGGAGGGGAUUGCGUCUGAUUAGCUAGUUGGAGGGGUAACGGCCCACCAAGGGGAUGAUCAGUAGCCGGUCUGAGAGGAUGAACGGCCACAUUGGGACUGAGACACGGCCCAGACUCCUACGGGAGGCAGCAGUGGGGAAUCUUCCGCAAUGGACGAAAGUCUGACGGAGCAACGCCGCGUGAGUGAUGACGGCCUUCGGGUUGUAAAGCUCUGUUAAUCGGGACGAAAGGCCUUCUUGCGAAUAGUGAGAAGGAUUGACGGUACCGGAAUAGAAAGCCACGGCUAACUACGUG
rnacentral:rRNA from 1 species